rnacentral:rRNA from 1 species
AUGCAGCCAGAAACACCGCCUUCCUCAGGGAUUGUCAGGCGAAUAUGUAAAACCAACAUAGCAGCUUUGGUUCAGCUCAACACAACGGCAAGAAACCAUCCACUUGCGAUUGAAACGACGCUCCAGCCUCAGAGAACUAGUCAAAUUUCUGUCUCUCUGUUUGCUUUGUGCAAGAGCGUAUCGUGUCCACACCUCUAUAUAGACCUCUCCCUAGGCACGACCGAGCAGGCUUCAGAAGCAAAGCGAGAUCAUCAAGAUGGACCACCGCUCUCUCCUCCUGCCGUCGUCUGCCUGGUCAUCCAUCUCGAGAGCGCCAAUGCCCAGUACGGCAGCUCCUCCGGCAAUGGCGCGGCAGGGGGCGCCGGCGCAGGGUACUCCUUGCUGGGUGUUGCCGCCGCUCUGCUCGCCGUAACCCCACUCUGCUGGGAGUUGGCUGUUUUGUACCAUUAA